AAAAACACAUGCUGCUGCUUUUCUUCUUGUAAACGGCCUUGUUUGGAAGGAAAGAAGGCUAGAGCAUGUAUUUAUUGUGUAUGUUAAUAUAAAUUAAGUUAUGUUCAAAUAUUGCAAUUUAAAUUUGCUAAUAAAAUCGAGACAUUUAUUCUGGAAGUUUUCAAAAUGUUUCUUUAGUAGUUUUUGAAAACAAAGAUUUGAAUCGAAUGGUGUAUCACCUGAACCAAUACAGAUUUAUUUUGCAUUGAUCAUUUAGCUUAUCAAUUAAUUAGGUUCAUAUUUGUGAGAAAUGUAGCCCUGACCCCCGUUCACCCAAUCUGUUUGGUCUUAUUAAUGUCCCGUCCCCAGCAAAAAGUGUACAUGCAGGUUAUGCUGUUAUAUCGUCCCUACCAAUGUUGAGACCAAACCUACGCCCUUGGUCCAUGCUAAACUGCCAUCCUAGAUGUUAUUCUUAUUUCAGCUUGUCAGUUUGAAGCGAGGGGGAGAGUUUUCCCCUCAGCUCUUUGAAAGGUCAGUUGUAACCGCAAGCCUUUUAGUCAAGUGGAGCAUGAAGCAUUUACCUUAAACACACUUUCCUUUAGGUUAGACGUUGAAACCUGCACAACCUGCUUAGAUCAACAUUUUUUCCAGGUUAUGAGCUAGAACUCAAACAUGCAUUCAUAAGCACUUUAAUAUAUUUGAUUAUAGGGUUAAUACAAGUUGCAAGCACACUGAUAUAUAAUUGGUUACAGGAUGUGAUCAAAUGAUGAUUUAUGAUUAAAUGGAUUAUAACUAAAGAUAGAAUUAAAACAUGAUUGUUUGAUAGAUAGGUUGAAAUGAAUAUUCCCCACAGAUGCUGCCUAAUUCAGCGGACCUUGGCAUGAACUUUGAAGGGAACAGGUACACGAGUAGCUCCAGUAAUGCCUUCGGUUGUCAGUUCAUCUCCAUCAGGAACAGAAAAAGAGAACUUCUGCAGUAAA